UGUAAAACCACCUGAACUGCAGAUUUUUAUGCUGCUUUAAAUUAAAGGAGAUGAGCAGGAGAAAUCUGCAUCUUAAUUCCUCCAAAUGGUGCAGCGGGUAUCUGUGAGGUCUGUAACUGCACAGAGAGUCAUGCAAACGCUCAGCUGUCUUCAAACAACUGAUUUUGCAUUUUUGUCCCUCUGUACCAGGAAAUACAAACUAUUUCAUAUGCUCACAGUGAACACAUGUCUUCAUUUGGCAUCCCCGGCUCCCCAGCAAGAUCAUGCAGUUCACGGAAACUCAGAGAGCAACCCGUUUUGUAGCAUAUGGAAAGAGCAGGCAUGCGAAUGGGCUGCUGGGCCACAACUGUGGUGUGUUGGGGGUAAUGAGAGAGACGGGAGGCAAUUAAAUGAGGGAAAAGUGACAAUCUGACAACAGGCUCAAUUAAUGUAAUCAGAUCUCAUGUUUGCUGUGUGGAUGUAGUAAAUCAAAGAGUAAGUGGGAAUGAUAUGAACUUUUUAAUAUUAAAACUAUUCCCAUAGUAUGCAAACUCAGGGAAUACCAGUAAAUUUCUGCCUGUCUGUUGCCAAUCAGUAACUGAUUUAGAAUAGACUUUGUUGAGUAAUUACGCUUAAUAAGAGCUUGUCCAUACAAGCUGCUAUCAGAUGUCAUUUUAUACAGUUUCAAUCCAGAUAUAAUGGCUGAGCUGCACGCAUUAACUUUCUGUAAUACUGCACUGCCUUUUUAUGGGAGGGGGGUGGGAAAAUUCAAGAAUGAUCACUGUGUGGCUUCCUCUCAGACAGUUGUAUUUGAUCUAAUGUGAUUUAUUGCUGCACAUUUUGACUGAGCAGAAAUGUCUUGAGGGGAAACGAGAGACUUGUUGCAGUAAGUGUUUGCGUUAAUGUAUUUUCACCUGCUUGCUUGGUGGGCUCCACAGUUGGCUGCGUUCAUUGCUGUUUGGGAGCCUUCUGUAUUCCAAAGCAAUUCUAUAUCUGUUUGCUCUCUCUUGUAAGGAUGUAAUAGCUUCCCACACCCUCAACAAGAGGCGAUUGUGUAACUAAUCCAUGCUGGCACAACAAAGUCCUCACCUAGAUCACUAAUAUUGCUAAACAUAAAUGCAGGACAAAGGCAGACCUCAAAUAUUUUGAGUAAAGCACAGGGAAGUUUUCCAGGUAGGCCUAGAGGAUAGAAGUAAAGGAGAAGUGAAUAUGGGGGGCAGAGGCUCCGCUUCAUGUUAGAGAAGUUUGGGUGCUGCUGUUGCUCGCAGGCACAAAACCACAAGCAGUUUUCCUGGUUGCUUAAGGGCUUCUGGGUCCCCACAUAACGCAGCUUCUUCUUUAAUGCAUUGCCACUGUUUGUCAUCAGCAGAAAGAUGUGGGGAGAAGAACCAGAGGCUUUUCUAUCAUACUCUUUCUAAGAAAGGUAUAAACACUUAAAAGUCAUCAGACAUUUAUGCAUGAGUCUACCCACUCUGCCAUGUGAGGACGCAAGGCUCUUCUGCAGUUUAAAUACAGAAUGAGAAAUUUGGAAUGUGGUCUGAGUUGUGUCACCAAUGUUUUGCAUGGCGGUUGGAAAGGGCCAUAUCUUUAUAGAUUGCUCUAUCAAUGGUUCACUUCAGGAAUUUAUAAUUUCUUGGCAUUUGCACUCCCCAGGCCUGGUUGCAGUGAGCCAUGCCCACACAGAGCAGCAGCCCUGAGCAGGUGAGCUGCCUGCUGGGCAGGAUGGUGUGCACCGCUUCCCCAGGGACUUGCACUGCUUCUGUGCUGCAUGCUGUAUUGAUGUCACUUGGAGAUUUGAUUGUCAACAUCACAAAAACAGCACCAGGAAAAGCUACAAGAUACUGCAUAAAGCUCAGAAUGACUGAAAGCUGGAGGACUUCUUUUCAGGAGAUACAUUUUUCACUGGUGAUAGCAAAUGUGACCCACAGACAGAGGGAAGACCCAAAGCAUCAGGGAGGCUGAGCACAAGUGCCUUUCUUCUGCUGUUGGAAUCCAUCCAGGUCCUUCCAGGAUCUGCCCUGGAAGAGCUCAGCACCACCAGUUCCCACUGCUGCAGAGCUCUCCUGAAUCAUUUCCAAUUAAUUCAUUGCCAUUCAUUGCUGCGUGCAGCAGGGAUCCCUUGUUCAGCGUGCUUAAUUCUGGAACACAGAGCAACAAACUCACGUGGGAGGAGGUCAGGAGUGCCACCACUCUGCAGUUAUUUCACUCCAGGGACGAGCACAGAGGUCUGAGUAUCUCUGAUCAGCCUGUUUGUUUUAUCCAUUUCACAUCACUGUGUGAAAGCAAUGGGGGCAGAACGAUGCAGGGCUGCGCUUGAUCUCUCCGUACUGUAACAGGGGAGUGGCUGGGACAGCAGCUGCAGGAAUCGGUUUUGCUGUUAACAUGGAGGAAUCAAUUGGCUUUAACUUCAGUAACACUACAACUGUGCCCCAACCUCCCUGCCAGAGAGCAGCACACCCUCUGAGGGGCUCUGACUGCCCCAGCCACCCCCAGCCUGGCGCUCUGUCAGGUCCGUGUCUCUCCUGUAGCAGUCCAUAUCCAGAUGAAGCACUCCAGGUGAGGCUCUAUCCUUUCAUCCCCCAGCCUGUAUUGAUAGCAGGAAUUGCCACCACCCAGGUGCAAGACUCGGAUCUGUUGGACCUCACGAGGUUCAGGGGUGGUUCCUUCACAGUGCCACAUCCUUGCGAUGCUCUCUGCCUGCUCAGUGCUGCAGGGCAGCUUUCUGUGCACGUAUUCCCACUGACAGCUCCUGAUACGGAGCGGGUUUCAGGCUGCACUGAAGACCACGCUGGUUUCCAUUAUUUAUGGCUGAUUUGGAGACAGUGACACCACCAGCAGCCUCCCCCAGCCACCUUUAACCUUUCUGCUCCGUCCGCUGCCUCCCUGUCCCCGUGUAACACAGAGAUGAGAACCAAGCUCCCUGCUCCGGAUGGCAGUGUGAUUAUUGAGCAGAGUCACGCUAGCUACACACAGGCAAAUCUGCAACUGAUUAUGAGGUUUUUUUCUCAAUUAAUUGUCAGAAGCAAAGGGACGUUUGAUGUUUAAUGUCUUUUUCUUCUUGUUAAAUGCAUUCUCUUUGCCACCCGUUCUCAGACACUGGGAAUAGACAGAACUGCACAAUGCAAAGGCUGCCAAGUUGCACUGCAUUCAUGCAUAAUCCAUCUCAGGCAUUUGUCUCUUGUUUUGGAUGUUACACACAGGUCUGCAGGAGACUUUGCUUUUAGAUCCGUCGACAAAGUGACACUGACAUCUUAUUGAGAGGCACAGGAUGAAUCCUUCACUCGAGCUCAGGGCGUGAGGCUCAGAUGCUGUAUAUGUUCUUGGGACAGGGUGUGAGGAUGCACCUCUUGUGCUCUCCAUGGGCACAGACUGCGGCUGUCGGCAUUAUGGUUUGCCUGGGCUGUCCUCACACAUCUGUUUUGGACCAGGGAAGACACUUCCUGCCUUAAAAAGUCUUCCUUGGAGCUUCCUUGGAGGUGUUUCUUCACGUGGUCUGAGCCAGGAGCAGCCUGUGUCUGUGGGGGAAAAGUCAGGGAAGGGGGCUAGAAAGGGCUGUGAGAGGGAGAGGAAGAUGUGCUCUGUGCAACCAAGCAGCAGAGAUAAAUUUAAAGUGAAAAGUUGGGACUGGAGGGUCAGUUCUUCUGUGAGACUUUCUGCUUUUGUACUUAACCCAUAAACACAUCAACAGUUUGUGGACACUGCAUUUUACAAAAUAACAAACUCUUCCAGUACUUCAUAAAUUCAGAAGCUUUGCGCGGGUGCAAAGAGAAUCCAUUCACUUCUGAGUUGGGAAAACAGGGCUCAGCAUCCCAUGGUAUCUCGGUGCUGCUGAGGCCAUUUAGGGAGCAGAACACCUCCCAGCUGGGGAUGACGUCUUCAUCCCAAUCAGUGCAAAAUUUGUGCUCGUUCCUAUGGGGCUCCAUUUCAUCCUGAUCUUCCAUAAGUCUGCUCCAUUCUGUUGGUGCUGAAAGUGAAGCACAAGUUGGAAGAUUUGAACUAAUUGUAAUUGAGAGAGUUACUGGCAGAGCUCUGAUGAGAAUGUUGAGAAUUCCUGGCUCCAUCCUCUGCUCUGACCGCAGGCAGAGCUGAGCUGAUUGCAGAGCAUCUUUGGGAGGCUCCUUGUUGUAGACCCAGAAUGCUGAACUUUCAGGAAGACCUAAUGUAGAUUGGAAUGUAAUAAACAGCUCUGUAUCAAAACUGCACUUUUGUAACUCAGAAAUUGCCAGAGAAAGCAAAUAAA